GCCAGAGUGGCAUAGUGGUUUGAGUGCUGGACUACAACUCCAGAGAACAGGGUUCGAUUCCCCGCUUGCCCA